UACGAAGGGGGCUAGCGUUGCUCGGAAUUACUGGGCGUAAAGGGCGCGUAGGCGGCACUGUUAGUCAGGCGUGAAAUUCCUGGGCUCAACCUGGGGACUGCGCUUGAUACGGCAGAGCUUGAGGAUGGAAGAGGGUCGCGGAAUUCCCAGUGUAGAGGUGAAAUUCGUAGAUAUUGGGAAGAACACCGGUGGCGAAGGCGGCGACCUGGUCCAUUACUGACGCUGAGGUGCGAAAGCGUGGGGAGCAAACAGG
rnacentral:rRNA from 1 species